rnacentral:rRNA from 1 species
AUUGAACGCUGGCGGCAUGCUUUACACAUGCAAGUCGAACGGUACAGGCCGCAAGAUGCUGACGAGUGGCGAACGGGUGAGUAAUGCAUCGGAACGUGCCCAGUCGUGGGGGAUAACGCAGCGAAAGCUGCGCUAAUACCGCAUACGAUCUAUGGAUGAAAGCGGGGGACCGAAAGGCCUCGCGCGAUUGGAGCGGCCGAUGUCAGAUUAGGUAGUUGGUGGGGUAAAGGCUCACCAAGCCGACGAUCUGUAGCUGGUCUGAGAGGACGACCAGCCACACUGGGACUGGGACACGGCCCAGACUCCUACGGGAGGCAGCAGUGGGGAAUUUUGGACAAUGGGCGCAAGCCUGAUCCAGCAAUGCCGCGUGCAGGAAGAAGGCCUUCGGGUUGUAAACUGCUUUUGUACGGAACGAAAAGGCUCUGGUUAAUACCUGGGGCUCAUGACGGUACCGUAAGAAUAAGCACCGGCUAACUACGUGCCAGCCGCCGCCGUAAUAC